rnacentral:rRNA from 1 species
GACGAACGCUGGCGGCGUGCUUAACACAUGCAAGUCGAACGGAAAGGCCCUGCUUUUGUGGGGUGCUCGAGUGGCGAACGGGUGAGUAACACGUGAGUAACCUGCCCUUGACUUUGGGUUAACUUCAGGAAACUAGGCUUAAUACCGGAUUGGACCUCAUGCUGCAUGGUUGGCGUUGGAAAGUUUCGGCGGUUGGGGAUGGACUCGCGGCUUAUCAGCUUGUCGGUGGGGUAGUGGUAUACCAAUGCUUUGACGGGUAGCCGGCCUGAGAGGGUGACCGGCCACAUUGGGACUGAGAUACGGCCCAGACGCCUACGGGACGCAGCAGUGGGGAAUAUUGCACAAUGGGCGGAAGCCUGAUGCAGCAACGCCGCGUGCGGGAUGACGGCCUUCGGGUUGUAAACCGCAUUCGCCUGUGACGAAGCGUUAGUGACGGUAAUGGGUAAAGAAGCACCGGCUAACUACGUG